GAUGAACGCUGGCUACAGGCUUAACACAUGCAAGUCGAGGGGAAACGACGGGGAAGCUUGCUUCCCCGGGCGUCGACCGGCGCACGGGUGAGUAACGCGUAUCCAACCUGCCUCUGACUGAGGGAUAACCCGUCGAAAGUCGGCCUAAUACCUCAUGGCAUCGUCUGCGGGCAUCCAACGACGAUUAAAGAUUUCAUCGGUCAGGGAUGGGGAUGCGUCUGAUUAGCUUGUUGGCGGGGUAACGGCCCACCAAGGCUACGAUCAGUAGGGGUUCUGAGAGGAAGGUCCCCCACAUUGGAACUGAGACACGGUCCAAACUCCUACGGGAGGCAGCAGUGAGGAAGAUUGGUCAAUGGGCGGGAGCCUGAACCAGCCAAGUAGCGUGCAGGAGGACGGCCCUAUGGGUUGUAAACUGCUUUUAUGCGGGGAUAAAGUGAGGGACGUGUCCUUCAUUGCAGGUACCGCAUGAAUAAGGACCGGCUAAUUCCGUG
rnacentral:rRNA from 1 species